UGUCUCCUCCAUGUCUCCAAACAUGGAUUCAGCCCGCUCAAUGAAGCGGGCUUUUUCUU
rfam:Mumia flava strain MTSC 201 Contig45, whole genome shotgun sequence.